UUGUCAAGCAUCACAAGGACACAGCUGAGCUUAGCAGAAAAGUUGAACACCGCAGCUCAAAUCCUCUAAUUUCUAUCCAUUGGUUGAAUUUGUUGGUCAAAACAUUUUUAGUUUUGACCGUUUGUAAUCCAUCCAUCACUAAAGCUCGAGGAAUUGGCCAUUUAUUCUUUGGGAGGGUUGUAUUAAUUUUGAGUGGGUAGGUUGUGCACACUUUUA
rnacentral:misc_RNA from 1 species